UGGGGGGGAUGUUAAGGAAGAUCUUGAUGAGGUCUCAUUCGUAGUCGAUGUCAAGUGAUCUGUAGCAACUUUUGCCAUGUCACCAUCAUCAUCUUAAUCCGAUCCCUGGGGGGAUGUUCAGAAAAACCCAAAUGAGGUCUUGUUCGAAGUCGAUGCCAAGUUGAUCUGUGGUAAUUUUUGCCAUGUCGUCAUUAUCAUCUUAAUCGAAUCUUGGGAGAAUGUUCGGGAAGAUUCCGAUGAGGUCUCAUCCGAAGUCGAUGUCAAGUUGAUCUAUGAUAAUUUUUUCAUGUCACCAUCAUCGUCUUAAUCUGAUCCUUGGG
rnacentral:lncRNA from 1 species